UUUUAAUGAGAGUUUGAUCCUGGCUCAGGACGAACGCUGGCGGCGUGCCUAAUACAUGCAAGUAGAACGCUGAGGUUUGGUGUUUACACUAGACUGAUGAGUUGCGAACGGGUGAGUAACGCGUAGGUAACCUGCCUCAUAGCGGGGGAUAACUAUUGGAAACGAUAGCUAAUACCGCAUAAGAGUAAUUAACACAUGUUAGUUAUUUAAAAGGAGCAAUUGCUU
rnacentral:rRNA from 1 species